UACGUAGGGGGCUAGCGUUGUCCGGAAUCAUUGGGCGUAAAGCGCGUGUAGGCGGUUCGGUAAGUCCGCUGUGAAAGUCGGGGGCUCAACCCUCGGAUGCCGGUGGAUACUGUCGGACUAGAGUACGGAAGAGGCGAGUGGAAUUCCUGGUGUAGCGGUGGAAUGCGCAGAUAUCAGGAAGAACACCAACGGCGAAGGCAGCUCGCUGGGACGGUACUGACGCUGAGACGCGAAAGCGUGGGGAGCGAACAGG
rnacentral:rRNA from 1 species